rnacentral:lncRNA from 1 species
UUCAUACGGAUGUGUUUGAAACGGAACACUUGGCCUGUGGCUCGGUAGAACGAAGCGGAUUCUAUCUUUCGGUGGGCCGCGUCUGACUCCUAUUCUGGAUAUAUGCUUGAAGUUCCUAGUGAGCGUUGCAUCCCUAACUUGUGUAAGUGAACGGCCACUGCUUUCCUUUGUGUUACAUGAAAUGAGGGCCCCCGUAGUACACUUAAAGGCUGCCUCCUAACACCUGCUUCCCCGUUGGCUAAGAACCAACCCAUCUAUAACCUGAAGUGAUGCAAUAAAUUGAGCUUCUCGGGUAGGAAUAUUGACAUGCUAUGGAAAAUUCCAUACAUAAGUAAGCCAACAAAGAAAGCAAACGGAGUAUAGCGCGAAGAAAGCGGAGCAGCAAGCAAGCAAAGCGACUCUCUAAGCCAAGCUUCCCCUUUUCCCAAGUGAACUUAGGAGCCGACCCACCUUCUGUCUCUGUAUUUAUCUAAGCCAACAAUGGGAUCGAUAUACCCACGAGUAUGAUUAUCCACGAAUUAGAAUAUAGAAAGCAGUGGCGGCGCACCCCUUUGAUCGAUCACGGCCACCUAUGGAUAUAACUGUUGGCCCAUUUGCUCUUAUAAUUGCUUUGGAUCUCCUUUCC